rnacentral:rRNA from 1 species
AGUAUAAACUGCUUUAUACUGUGAAACUGCGAAUGGCUCAUUAAAUCAGUUAUAGUUUAUUUGAUGGUACCUACUACUCGGAUAACCGCUAGAUAAUUCUAGAGCUAAUACGUGCGUAAAUCCCGACUCCUGGAAGGGACGUAUUUAUUAGAUUUAAGGCCAACCGAGCUUGCUCGUCUCUGGGUGAAUCAUGAUAACUUCGCAAAUCGCAGGGCCUCGCGCCGGCGAUAUUUCAUUCAAAUUUCUGCCCUAUCAAUUGGCGAUGGUAGGAUAGAGGCCUACCAUGGUGUUAACGGGUGACGGGGGAUUAGGGUUCGAUUCCGGAGAGGCAGCCUGAGAAACGGCUACCACAUCCAAGGAAGGCAGCAGGCGCGCAAAUUACCCAAUCCUGAUUCAGGGAGGUAGUGACAAUAAAUAACAAUACCGGGCUUUUAAAGUCUGGUAAUUGGAAUGAGUACAAUCUAA